CACAUGACCAAUAGCAGCAAGGAGAAGUGGAGGUUUAUUGCCUGGCUAUAGACAGCCCGAGAAAGAAAGUUAGCUUCCCACCCCCAGCAGCUGCAGUGAUUGGAAAACGAGCUUGAGCCUUUUCACCGAAAAGAAUAUAUCAUUAUCCGUUGGGUUCGCCCUACUUCCCUGUUAAGAAUCACCUGAAGUGCCUAAAAAUCCGCGAGUUUCAGGGCUUUUCCCUGGAAAUAAUGAUUUAGAACGUCCUGGGGGAGGGCCUAGGAGUCUGUGGGUUUAAUAAGCACCUCCAGGAUUUGUGUCUUCGGACAUGAUUCGUGCUUGUCGACAAAACUGACCUCGGAGCUGAGGUGAGUGACAAACCAAAGUUGCCAGGCCUGAGUAGGGUCCUCGUGCCCAGAGGAGAAAGAGAAAAAACAAAGGAACUCUUUUCACUAAAUUCACCAGCUAUCUUCUGAUCCAGUUAAUUAACUGGGAAAACUAAAUUAAGCCCUAAAGCCUUAUUCAUCUUUGAGGGGACCUUUGAUGUCUUGAGCACUAAUGGCAGGGAGGUGGGCAGUGCUGGGCUGGAACAUCUCCCAUGGACAGCCAAGCAGCAUUCUGUAAUCGUGGCUAUUAAACUGCUUUCUUGGGAGUUGUUUUUGAUCCAUGUGGAAUAGAUUAAGAGUCUGUUUUGAAUCCCCUAGAGUUUCCUGUGGAGCAUAAUUAGAGAUGCAUUGGAAUAGGAAUUCAGGUCAACACUUACUUUAAUGAGAUGUCUGAAGAGUAUGGCCCAGCAAGGGGAAGGGUAGAGGGAGUGGAGUGGUGGAGAUGAGGAAGGGACAUUGUCAGGAUGAGGGGGCAAAAGAAUGAAGAUUUUUGUGAGGAGGUGAAUGAAAGACAAGGAACCACAGAGGAGAGAGAAAUGGAGAGUGAGAGAAGCAAGGAAAUGAGAAUCAAGCAUUGAAAAAUCCUGGAACUUUCAAUAUUUAUGUAGCCAAAGUGUCUCUCUUGCUCACUCACUUGCUUGCUUGCUUGUGUACCACUAAUUGAGCAACUACUAUGGGCCAGAUGCUCUGGAAAAUGCUGUUCUGAAGAGGAGUACUAAUCUUCACCAGUGGUGCACCUAGCUGUAUUUUGCACAUUAGGAAACAGACCCAGAGGCACACCUCCCAGAUGCAUCUUCCUCAUGGGGUUGUCGCAGGGUUUAAGAAAAUGAACUCAUAUAAAGGGCUCAGAAUAGUGUCUGGAUCACAGAUUGUAUUGGCUCCAGGAACUCUGAAGAAUUUAUGUCAGUGAUUCUGAAGUGAGAAUGGAACAUGGAUCCAACCCCUCUAAGGCAGAAGAGACGUGAGCAGAUUACCUUCCCUGUCCUUAAAAGGAGUGGCCCUGCAUUCCCUGAGAGGGCAUAGCUGGGGCAGUCAUCUGGACCCACCAGACAGGAGCUGCAGCUUGAUAAAAGGUGCCUGGUUCCAGUGACUAUGGAGCAGCCUGCCAGCACUAGAGGAGUCACAGAGAUGUCUAGAUGAGUCACAGAGACAUAUACAUGACAGAAAAAUAAACAACUAUGUUGUUUAAGCCAU